rnacentral:rRNA from 1 species
GACAGAGGGUGCAAACGUUGUUCGGAAUUACUGGGCGUAAAGCGCGUGUAGGCGGCCCGGCAAGUCGGAUGUGAAAGCCCUCGGCUCAACCGGGGAAGUGCAUCCGAAACUACCGGGCUCGAGUGUCGGAGAGGGAAGUGGAAUUCCCGGUGUAGAGGUGAAAUUCGUAGAUAUCGGGAGGAACACCAGUGGCGAAGGCGGCUUCCUGGACGAACACUGACGCUGAGACGCGACAGCGUGGGGAGCAAACAGG